rnacentral:rRNA from 1 species
UGCCUGGCAGUGUCCUACUCUCGCAUGGGGAGACCCCACACUACCAUCGGCGCUACGGCGUUUCACUUCUGAGUUCGGCAUGGGUUCAGGUGGGUCCACCGCGCUAUGGCCGCCA